GGGCCCGCACAAGCGGUGGAGUAUGUGGUUUAAUUCGAUGCAACGCGAAGAACCUUACCAGGGUUUGACAUCCUGCGAAUCUCUUGGAAACGAGAGAGUGCCUUCGGGAGCGCAGUGACAGGUGGUGCAUGGCUGUCGUCAGCUCGUGUCGUGAGAUGUUGGGUUAAGUCCCGCAACGAGCGCAACCCACGUCUUUAGUUGCCAGCAGGUUAAGCUGGGCACUCUAGAGAAACUGCCCGUGAUAAGCGGGAGGAAGGUGUGGAUGACGUCAAGUCAUCAUGCCCCUUACAUCCUGGGCUACACACGUACUACAAUGCUACGGACAAAGGGCAGCAAACUCGCGAGAGCUAGCA
rnacentral:rRNA from 1 species